AAACGACUCUCGGCAACGGAUAUCUCGGCUCAUGCAUCGAUGAAGAACGUAGCAAAAUGCGAUACUUGGUGUGAAUUGCAGAAUCCCGUGAACCAUCGAGUUUUUGAACGCAAGUGGCGCCCGAAGCCAUCCGGUUUAGGGCACGCCUGCCUGGGCGUCACG
rnacentral:rRNA from 1 species